UUCCAUCAUCAUUUGGAAAUUUGAGCAAUCUCGAAUGGUUAGACCUCUCUUUCAACAAGCUUAUUGGGGAGAUUCCUAGGCAAUUGGCAAAUCUGCCGUGGCUUGAAGUUUUAAAUCUAUCUCAUAACCAACUUACAGGACACAUACCUUCAGGAAAGCAAUUUAAUACAUUUGAUAAUGAUUCAUACACUGAAAACUUGGGAUUAUGUGGAUUUCCGUUGUCAAGAAAGUGCAAUAGCCAAGCGGCAAAGAAACCACCACCAUUGACCUUACAACAAAAAGACAAUAUAGAGCCUCAAAAUGGGUUUAGUUGGCAAGCUAUAUCGAUGGGUUAUGGAUGUGGAGUGAUAUUUGGAAUGUUGAUGGGAUAUCUUAUGUUUAAAAUUGGAAAACCAAAGUGGAUUGUGAGGAUGGUCAAGUUAGAGUAACAUAUCAUGCUUAGGAGAAUAUCAAAUUCUUUCAUGGUCCUCAAAGACACAAGACACCAUUCUUUGCCAAGUUGGUUGGCAUUGUUGCUGUUGAAGUAAUUGUUUAAUAAUUGAGAAGUUCUAGAUUUGGAUGGAAAGCAAAAGAAAAUGCAACAUUUGAGGAAUGUUCUGCAACAGUUGAGGUUCAUAUCGUUUAGGAGUUAAAAGUCAAAGGACGCUAUGCAAACAUGGUUGGUGAGGAGCUGCAGUAACAGACUUUAACUUGGCAAAAGAUAAUUUUCAAGAAAGCUUCUCGAUGGUGUUUUGUUUCUUAGUAUGGAAUUAGUUUAUUAUGCCAAAAUGAAUUGGUGUUCAUAGGUAUUAAGCGUCUUUUUAGCCUUUUAUUUUUCUGUUAUUGAAAAUAUGCGAUGAACAAAGUAAUCUUAGGUUCAUAAUUCUUUUGUAGCAAUGAUAUAUGUGAUAUCUUCUUAUUAUGUACU